rnacentral:rRNA from 1 species
UACGAAGGGGGCUAGCGUUGCUCGGAAUCACUGGGCGUAAAGGGUGCGUAGGCGGGUCUUUAAGGCGGGGGUGAAAUCCUGGAGCUCAACCCCAGAACUGCCUUCGAUACUGGCGAUCUUGAGUCCGGGAGAGGUGAGUGGAACUCCGAGUGUAGAGGUGAAAUUCGUAGAUAUUCGGAAGAACACCAGUGGCGAAGGCGGCUCACUGGCCCGGUACUGACGCUGAGGUGCGAAAGCGUGGGGAGCAAACAGG